rnacentral:lncRNA from 1 species
UCCUCCCCAUUGUCUCUCUCUGGUCUUUAUUAUGAGGUCACUAAUUCCAUCCAUGAGGGCAGUCACUCUCAAAAGGCCUCACCUCCCAAAGGCGCCACCUCCUAAUACAAUCAUCAUGGAUGCCAGGAUUUUAAUAUAUGAAUUUUUAGGAGGAACACAAAAUUCAGUGUAUUGCAACUAAUUUUGCAAAUAUUGGCUGAUUGGCAGUUUCUCCACUUUUAAUGCCAUUCAUUGGCUCAUGCUGCCUAAGGAGUCUUGUGGCUUUUGCUCUUUUUUGCUUUAUCUGCCCAUUUGUCAAUUUUCUGCAAGCCUGGUGGAGACCAAGCAACUCAAUCAGCUCUUCCUCUUCCUAUUGCCCUCAGAGCACCUCCUAGUGGCAAAAAGCAGGCAUUGUAAUCCCAGCAAGGCUUUUGAAAUUUGCUUCUUUCAUCCAUUUAUUUAGUUAUUGCCUGCAAAUGUUUCAACGAUAAUGUAAUGAUCCCUCUGCUGUCCAAAGGUUUGGAGAAUGUUAUGAAAGAACAUUUUUGUUUUUUUCUGUAGCCUCUGCACUGACCUGUAUUUCUGUUCCCAGACCAUGGUUGACCACAGGUAAUUGAAACCCUGGAAGGUGAAACUGCAGAUAAGGAGGACUACAGUGUUCAACUAUUUACAAAUAAUGACAGUGGCCACAAAGAUUACCUUGAAAAGAGACCGUGAGACAGUUUCACACAGACUGUGCCUGGAUUUCCAUGAGUCUCUGCCAACUGCUUUUUAAGAGGUUUGUUGGCAGGAAGUGUCUUGGUUUUCUUGAUGGCAGAGAUAAAGAAAAAAAGAAAAAAAACAAACGUGAAAAAUUCCAAGGAUCAAUUUGCUAUUCAGUUUGGAAAAUAGUUAUUUACAAGAAGCACUGUGGCAUCUACAAGAUCUUGCUACCUCACCCAACUACUCCCUCCCUAAUCCAAAAAAAUGAGAGAAACCCAUUGCAGUCUGUGGUUGGGGUUGAUUAAACAUCCCUUGGGGCCCUAAUGCCCUCGAAAUGAUGUGAAAUCACUGGGUUGUGUAUCAAAAGGGCAGGGUGAGCUCCUGGCUCAUCUGACUUUAAUCUCAAAUGGCUCCACACUGGUAGUUGAGAACAGACAAUUACUUCAUUAACUUUUGGAAAGUCUGAGGCAUUUGUGUUGCUUUCUGGACUGUGCUCUGCUACAGGGAGAGAAAAGACGAGGUCCAACGAGGCCAUUCAUGCCUGCCAAGUUUUCCUUUCUUUCCAAUCCAGGAAACAUACAUUGGUAGUGGGUAAGAUCCAAUAUUUUAUAAUGCUAAGACAGAGAGACUCACCCACUGAACAGCCCAGAGUGAAUAUUCCCCAAGUCUUGGCUGGCAUGUAAGCCCAGAAUCUUCACCCUUACUCUCAAACCUUUUGCCACCUCUAUCCAAGAAUUAUUUUUAAUAAUGUCAUGUUCUCUUCUUUCCCUUAAAUAAAUCCACUCAUAUAUGAAAA